rnacentral:rRNA from 1 species
UACGGGAGGCAGCAGUAGGGAAUCUUCGGCAAUGGACGAAAGUCUGACCGAGCAACGCCGCGUGAGUGAAGAAGGUUUUCGGAUCGUAAAACUCUGUUGUUAGAGAAGAACAAGGACGUUAGUAACUGAACGUCCCCUGACGGUAUCUAACCAGAAAGCCACGGCUAACUACGUGCCAGCAGCCGCGGUAAUACGUAGGUGGCAAGCGUUGUCCGGAUUUAUUGGGCGUAAAGCGAGCGCAGGCGGUUUCUUAAGUCUGAUGUGAAAGCCCCCGGCUCAACCGGGGAGGGUCAUUGGAAACUGGGAGACUUGAGUGCAGAAGAGGAGAGUGGAAUUCCAUGUGUAGCGGUGAAAUGCGUAGAUAUAUGGAGGAACACCAGUGGCGAAGGCGGCUCUCUGGUCUGUAACUGACGCUGAGGCUCGAAAGCGUGGGGAGCAAACAGGAUUAGAUACCCUGGUAGUCCACGCCGUAAACGAUGAGUGCUAAGUGUUGGAGGGUUUCCGCCCUUCAGUGCUGCAGCAAACGCAUUAAGCACUCCGCCUGG